rnacentral:hammerhead_ribozyme from 1 species
AUCUAGCUGACUUGUUCCAUAUAGGACGAAACGCGUGUUCUGGAU